rnacentral:tRNA from 1 species
GGUUGUUAACGCAGUUGGUAGAGUUCUCCACUUGUAAUGGAGAGGUCCCGGGUUCGAUGCCCGGACCAGGCG